rnacentral:misc_RNA from 1 species
GAAAUGCGAUAAGUAAUGUGAAUUGCAGAAUUUAGUGAAUCAUCGAAUCUUUGAACGCACAUUGCGCCCUUUGGUAUUCCGAAGGGCAUGCCUGUUCGAGCGUCAUUAUAACCACUCAAGCAUUCGCUUGGUAUUGGGGCUCGCGGUCUCGCGGCCCCUAAAAUCAGUGGCGGUGCCUGUCGGCUCUACGCGUAGUAAUACUCCUCGCGAUUGAGACCGGUAGGUAGCCUGCCAGCAACCCUAAUUUUCUUAGGUUGACCUCGGAUCAGGUAGGGAUACCCGCUGAGUUUAA